AGAGAGUAGUAUAGUGGAGGUACGUGGGGUUUUGGGCCCCUUAGUACAGGUUCGAGUCCUGUUUUUCUA
rnacentral:tRNA from 1 species